rnacentral:rRNA from 1 species
GACGAACGCUGGCGGCGCGCCUAAUGCAUGCAAGUCGAGCGACGCACAUCGGAGGGGUAACCCACCGGUAUGACGGAGCGGCGAACGGGUGAGUAACACGUGAGCAACCUGCCCCACAGACCGGGAUAGCCCAGGGAAACUUGGAUUAAUACCGGAUACCCUCUCGGAACCACAUGGCUCUGUGAGGAAAUGCCUUUGUGCUGUGGGAUGGGCUCGCGGCUUAUCAGCUAGUUGGUGGGGUAACGGCCUACCAAGGCAUCGACGAGUAGCUGGUCUGAGAGGACGAUCAGCCACACUGGGACUGAGACACGGCCCAGACUCCUACGGGAGGCAGCAGCAGGGAAUCUUGCGCAAUGGGCGAAAGCCUGACGCAGCGACGCCGCGUGGGGGAUGAAGGCCUUCGGGUUGUAAACCCCUUUCAGGAGGGACGAAAUUGACGGUACCUCCAGAAGAAGCCCCGGCCAACUACGUGCCAGCAGCCGCAGUAACAC